AUGACCUCGAACGGUGCUUUGCCCGAUCUAACGAAAGCUCAAUUAGGAGAAUCCUGACCCAUUUUCUCAUUGUCUAUGGGCCACUCCUUGACCGAUAAGUCCAUUGCAAGAAUAUAGAAAGCACAAGGGGAAAAGGGAAGAAUGGUCCCGAGAAGGCCAAAGGAAAGCUACGGAGGCAAAGAAUCUACCAAUGACCCAUGAAGAUGAAGGGUCUACGAUAAGACGGUGAGACUCCAAUAGAUGC
rnacentral:lncRNA from 1 species